UUUAUUAUUUACUGCUUAUGAGCAUUGAGUGUGGUCAAGCUGUGUAGACCCUUAGGAGCUUGUCAUGUGGUUAAAUCAAGAUUCACUUGCACGUUCACUCAUAUAUGCUACUUCUACUCCGGAAGUACCAUCCACAUAUAUCCAUCCAUGUCCAUCUCCAGAACCACCCAAAAAUAUUCUACUCCUAAUCCGGGAGAGAAUAGCCAAAAAUAUUUCUAUUUUCCCUUGCAAAAUAAAUGCUCAAGUUAUCUUGCUACUACCACUUGCUAUAUUAUCUCAAGAGAUGAGUGCUCUGAAAAAAAAUAAAUGAGGAAAUAAAAAGGGGCAAGUUCCCGGAACCUCGAAAGAAAGAAAAAGUGAGACGAGAGGUAAAAAUGGCCAAGUGUCCGACAGUAGAAUUAGGGGUACAAGAUACCCACCUGAGGGGAAAGAAAAAUGAAAGAUAGAGCAUCUCAUUCUCCUCAUAAAGUUUCAAAAAGCAAGGAAGGUAUGUAUCCCCUCAAAAGAGCAAAAGUAGAAUUAGACUUUCACCAUUGUUAUCGCCAUCAUCACCAUACACCAUUCAUUCGCCACACAUGCACAUCUUGAUUUGGCUUAUUGAUUUGUUUCUUUGGAUCCAUGGUUUGACUAUACAAUAAAUAUCUUGUAUGUAUGUAUACUUUAUCUCCCACCUAUGAGCUCCAGAUAUUAAAGCCUUAUUAGAGUAGGGUGAGAGAGAAGGCAAUGUCACUGUGCCUUAUACCACAAAUACCACAUAUCUUGAGAGAAGGCAUAUACCAUCACUGCCUUGGUAAGGAUCUAGAAAUACCACAAAAGAG
rnacentral:lncRNA from 1 species